GCAGAUACAUUCCAGCCAAUCAGCAGCAGACCCUCCCUCCCAGACCCUCCCACCUCCUGGACAGCUCACUAAGAAUGCAGCUUCACAAUGAAUGUAAAAUGGAUGCUGCCCAGGAGGUGGGAGGGUCUGGGAGGGAGGGUCUGCUGCUGAUUGGCUGGAAUGUGUCUG
rnacentral:miRNA from 1 species